rnacentral:rRNA from 1 species
UACGUAGGGGGCAAGCGUUGUCCGGAUGUAUUGGGCGUAAAGAGCGUGUAGGCGGCCAGACAGGUCCGUUGUGAAAACUCGAGGCUCAACCUCGAGAUGUCGAUGGAAACCGUCUGGCUAGAGUCCGGAAGAGGAGUGUGGAAUUCCUGGUGUAGCGGUGAAAUGCGCAGAUAUCAGGAAGAACACCUAUGGCGAAGGCAGCACUCUGGGACGGUACUGACGCUGAGACGCGAAAGCGUGGGGAGCGAACAGG